GCAGAAGAGUAAAUGAUCAGAGUGGUAACAUUUUUAACCUUAUCUAUCAUACUGAAACAUUUUUUCUGCCUCCAAUAAAACAUGUCAGAGUCGAUUAAGGACAUUUUUCAAUGAGGUAUAAUUCACAGAUUUUAGUAGCGAAUCCAAGAGCAGUGAAGUAUUAAAGAGGCUGUGAAUACUUAAUUACGGAUAUGUUACCGUUCUACCUUUGCUUGAAUUCCCUUAACGCUCAGGAGCUCGCCUCUGAAAAUGCGCGUUUUGUCUGAUGGCGGAGUCGGAGGAGUAGCAGGUAGGAUGGCUGGGGAUGUGUCACAUUGUAUCGGGUGACAGGGCCGUGAAAGAUACAGCAGCUCAGUACGUUUGGCGGUGCUUAUCUGGUACAUGAGAGCACAUUACUUCCCAAAGCCCGGGAUCGCUUUGGACAGUAUCAUUAAAUGCCACGUCAUUACCUGUUAUAGAGCAGUGCUUCAGCUUCAAGGGCCUCUUGGGAUACGCUCAAGAGUCGGAAGAAUGAUGGGCAAAGAUGGAGCCGGCAUUAAAUUUUCAAUGGAAGCAGUAUUGGCUUUGACUUUUCAGAAGCCUGAUCUGUUAGAUGGUGUUUGUCACUGGGCUGCAGAGCUGUGGAUGUUCGUCAGUUGGAAGUUGCAGGCAGUUGAACGAUAUGGACAGAAUCAAGAAAGCUGCCCGUAUUGUCACGCCUCACUUCAGAGGGAAGAGAGAAGACGAAUCCCAUGGAAUAGCGAGGAGGAUGAAGAUGCAUGGAAUUAUCUGCAGGAAGUGAGGACCCUUGCAAGGCUUCUAGGCUGACUACAUGCAUGCUGGACGACAGGGUGAGUUAAACCAUGAGAUGUUCCACUGAAUCCCUGACUGUUUUUGCUUCCUCCUCUCUCAGGUCAGUCAGCAAGUAGCCAAUAGCCAGGUGUCGUGGUACUUGCCUACGAUCCUGGUACUCUAGGAGGCUGAGGCAGGAGGAUCUCAAGUCAGACACCCAGUGUCUUUUAUAAAAUGCCGGUCUGACCGUGCCAUUCUCUGGCUUGGUCUCCCGUGACUUUCUGUUUCCCCCAAGAUGAAAGUUGUGUGCAGCCCACUGUAAGCCACCCAGCUUGUCUCUCUGGCAGCUCUCUAGUUUUCUACCACCUUUCCCCUCCCUGCAGGUUUCAUGGGCUUUUAGCGGGGGUGUAGGUCUUGCGGUGCUAAGCACGUGUUUGACCACUGAGCUAUACACUUAGACCUCAUUUUCACUUCUUGAACACCUCCUCAUUCUUUCUCCAGGAAGCCUUCCUUGGUUUCUUAGGGUUUGAUUAGGUUUUCUACCAACAUGUGGUGGGGGCCCCAUCCCCAGACCUUGAGGUCGUCUUUGUAAUUUCUCACUGACGCAUCUCUUUCUCAUAAUCCACUUUUGCUCUGGGGUGAUGCGUGACUCCUGGUCAGUAAAGCUGGGACGUUCGCGGCCCGUUCUAGACUCUCCGUUGAUUGAUCCAGUGAUUGAAUAAAUGACUGAAUGUAAAUCGAGGCAGACACAGCCUCUCCGCAAGAAGUUCAUGGGGGAGGCAGACCGGCCAAGGCACGUUCCGGAGGGUGGGCCUUGAGGAGCUGCACACUGAACGGGCAGCUGCCGGAGGAGGAGGAGGAGGAGAUCGGUUCCUUCUGCUUGGGAGCAGGGGAUUCCAGGUGUUGUUUGGAGAGGAGGAGCUUGGCGAGCAGGUCCCACCAGAUGGCUAGAGAGUGUCUGGCGGCACGGGCCAUGGCGGGAGGCCUGGGAUAGACCACACACUCAGCAGGGGUGAGCUCUGGAACGUGCUGGCCGUGCAGGUGGAGCUGGCAAGGACAGAGCUCCUGCUGUGUCCUGGCCUCAGACACCAUGGAACCUCAGGGCCCCAGCGCCCCUGUCUUGCACCUGCCCCCUGGGUUCCCUGGGUGCCCUGGCCACCUCUUUGAUGGCCUCCUGACAGUCAGGCCCGAAGACACAGCUGAACUUGGGUCGCGGAGGAGGGAGGGGCUGGCCUUGCCCAACAGCAGCGCCAUAUGCCCACGCCUUAGUCUAUUCCAGUCAUGUCCCCGGGCUGCCCAGCUGUCACUGCUAUAAUUACGCAGCACGGCCGCGGGAGUGUGUGGUUGUGGGGACCCUCCGGUCUCCUUAGAACUUUACUACUGUUGUUAUAGCUUAUCAGGACACAGCCUGCCUUCUGUUGGUCUCUUGAAAACGGCUGUAAUUCCCAUCCAUCAUGGGGGCAAGCCAGCUGCUGCAGGGGCAGCUGUCGGAGAGGACUCUGCACACUCUGACACGUCGGCCCUGACCUUGGGGAGGUGGCAGUUCCAAGCCCAGUGCCUUCCUUGGGGCUGCAUUUGGAAUGUCUCUUAACAGAGGGGGACUGCUUCCCGUCUUGUUCUGCGGCCCUGACCUGCUUGUCCCGUGCCUUGUAUCUACUCUGGACCGUGAACUUCCCAAGGCAAGGCCACUGCAGAACCCACGGACAACCUCCUGUUAUUCAAUGUUUUAUCUCAAAUUUUAAAAUGAUGUUCUCUUCCCUGCUGUAAAAU
rnacentral:lncRNA from 1 species